rnacentral:rRNA from 1 species
ACGCUGGCGGCAGGCCUAACACAUGCAAGUCGAGCGGUAGAGAGGAGCUCGCUUCUCUUGAGAGCGGCGGACGGGUGAGUAAUGCCUAGGAAUCUGCCUGGUAGUGGGGGAUAACGUUCGGAAACGGACGCUAAUACCGCAUACGUCCUACGGGAGAAAGCAGGGGACCUUCGGGCCUUGCGCUAUCAGAUGAGCCUAGGUCGGAUUAGCUAGUUGGUGGGGUAAUGGCUCACCAAGGCGACGAUCCGUAACUGGUCUGAGAGGAUGAUCAGUCACACUGGAACUGAGACACGGUCCAGACUCCUACGGGAGGCAGCAGUGGGGAAUAUUGGACAAUGGGCGAAAGCCUGAUCCAGCCAUGCCGCGUGUGUGAAGAAGGUCUUCGGAUUGUAAAGCACUUUAAGUUGGGAGGAAGGGUUGUAGAUUAAUACUCUGCAAUUUUGACGUUACCGACAGAAUAAGCACCGGCUAACUCUGUGCCAGCAGCCGCGGUAAUACAGAGGGUGCAAGCGUUAAUCGGAAUUACUGGGCGUAAAGCGCGCGUAGGUGGUUAGUUAAGUUGGAUGUGAAAUCUCCGGGCUCAACCUGGGAACUGCAUUCAAAACUGACUGACUAGAGUAUGGUAGAGGGUGGUGGAAUUUCCUGUGUAGCGGUGAAAUGCGUAGAUAUAGGAAGGAACACCAGUGGCGAAGGCGACCACCUGGACUGAUACUGACACUGAGGUGCGAAAGCGUGGGGAGCAAAC